rnacentral:rRNA from 1 species
GAUGAACGCUGGCGGCGUGCCUAAUACAUGCAAGUCGAGCGAACAGACGAGGAGCUUGCUCCUUUGACGUUAGCGGCGGACGGGUGAGUAACACGUGGAUAACCUACCUAUAAGACUGGGAUAACUUCGGGAAACCGUAGCUAAUACCGGGUAACAUGUUGAACCGCAUGGUUCAACAGUGAAAGAGGUUCUUGCUGUCCCUUAUGGAUGGAUCCGCGCCGCAUUAGCGAGUUGGUAAGGUAACGGCUUACCAAGGCAACGAUGCGUAGCCGACCUGAGAGGGUGAACGGCCACACUGGAACUGAGACACGGUACAGGCUCCUACGGGAGGCAGAAGUAGGGACUCUUCGGCAAUGGGCGAAAGCCUGAAGGAGGAGCGCCGCGUGGAUGAAGAAGGUCUUCGGAUCGUAAAACUCUGUUAGUAGGGAAGAAUAAAUGUGUAAGUAACUAUGCACGUCUUGACGGUACCUAAUCAGAAAGCCACGGCUAACUACGUG